CUUAUUUAUAAUAAAACUAAGAGAGUAAUACUUCAAUACAUUAUAUAAAUCUUGACCAUUUAUUUUUCUGAAUAGAUGGUUUAGAUUUAAUAUAACUCUAGAGGUGACCUACUAUUGAAGCAUUGGUACCAUCCACCAGGUACCUAUUUAAAAGGUAUUUUGGUCUUUGUAAAAUAUUUUGGUUUACAAAUUAAAUUAGUUUUAUCCAACUAAAAAUACUGUGAUCUUUUCAAAUGCCUACAGCAAUAGUUGGAUUUCAAAUUACAACCAAAUUAUAAAUUUAAAUUCAAAACAACAUUUAAAACUUAAUUAUAAAUCAAAUUCAAUUUUUUUAAAUAUAAAACACAAAUUUAAAAUAAAACUUUCAAUUCCAAUUCAAAAUUUCAAUUUAAAUCAAAAAUUAAAAUUUGGUUUUAAGAUUAAAAGUUCAAAUUAGAUUCAAAUUUAAAAGUUUAAUAUAAAUUUCAAAAUUAAAAUUUUACAUUACAAGACCAACUUCAAAAAUUAAAUUUAAAUUCAAUAGUUUUUUAAGCUGGAUACUUAACAAAUUGGGUUUUAUCUAAUUUGAUAAGUUACCAAAGUAAAUAAGAUAUUUAAUAUUUAUAGGAUGCUCACAAAUUUGGUAAAUAGUAUAUACUACUAAUUUUUUUUUUCAAUAUUAUCAUAUUAAUUUAUUCAAAUCGGUAACCUGUUCAACAGGUUACUUCAUGUAAAACCCAAUUAUACCCUUUACUAAUUAAGAAUUAAAUUUUAAUAUUUAUAGUGUAUUGAA
rnacentral:lncRNA from 1 species